UCAGUCCCAGACCCUGAGGACGCGUCUAAACUUCGGGAGGAAUUUUAGUUUGUGCCCUUUGGCAGUCAGGGGAAAGAUCUUGGUCAUUCUGUGUACUGGGAUGCGUUUCUAGCUCAGUAUAGCACAUCCAGCUCUCAACUGAGCUACUGAAAAGGGGAAGAAAUGAGGCUCCAGGAUUAUCCAGACUCAUCUCAUGUCAAUUAUCUGGAAGUGAUUCCACAAAUGACUACUGGGUUGCAACCUGCAGUUUAAAAACACUGUUCUAAUAUUUGGGCAAUGUCAAGCUACCAAUGUGAAAUCAUUGAACACACUGUUGGGAAGAGAUGCAGACAAUUGGCUUCAGCCUAUAAGAACCAGCUCCAGAACAGCACUUUGAGGACUAAUAGAAAAUAUGGUAUUAUAUUCCUAUUUUUUAUUUGUUAAUUUAUUUUCAUGGGAGAAAGAGGAACACUUACUGGCAGGUCCACACUGCAAAACUCUGUAGGCACUAUUCACAUCUACAUGAAGGAUGGUAUCCAUAGUUUUACAAAGCAUAACUGUUCUUGGUGACCCUACUUCCUAGUACCCCUAAAAUAACAUUAGCUUCCUUUUAAGGCUAGCAUAAGGGUACAAGGCAGAAGAAGUUCUAAAGUUCAGCAUGUAGCAGAAUCACCUGGAAUACUGGUUAAAACUAAAAUUACUGGGCUUUACACUGAGUCUCUGACUCUGUAGGUCUGGAGUGGGGCCUGAUAUUUUGCAUUUCUAAGUUCCCAAAAUGGUGGUGACAUUGUCGACUUAGGGACCACCUUUUAAGGACUGCUGAUAUAGAAUAAACUAAAUGUUUUCUCUGUGAGCAGGAAAUACAUGGCUGGGCCACUUAACUAGAAUGCCUGCCUUAGGGAGUAAGGGCUCAGGGUAGAGUGGAGUCCUAAACUCUGAUGCCUAUUGGGGCUUGGCCGGCAACAGAAGUAUGUGUAGUGGCUGGCUGGGGUGUAGAAAAUGUUAUGUUUAGGAUAAAUUUAUUGGUUUUGAGGUUUAGGAUCCUUAUAAAGGACAAACUGACCAAAGUCAAGGACACUGAUGGAGUAAGAGCUAGGCACUGAGGCUAGGAGAUGGGGUCGAAAAGAGCAGCCCAGGACCACAGUGUAAAAGAUAUAUUAAAAGAGGAAGAGGGACAGUCUCUAUCCCUCUUUCUUUCUAAUACUCCCUACUUUCACACUUUAAUAUCUGCUUCAGGAUCCUCAAAUUCCAGGGUAUUAAUAGAGACUGUUGGGUGAGAAUUAAAGGUACAGAGGUGUGAGUAGGUGUAUUGGCUUCCACUCAGCACUGGUGUGAAAGGGCUUGCUUAGCUUGCAAGCCUGAUUCCAGAGAAUGUAGUGUCAUGAGCUCUGCACUAGAUGGCAGGGUACCUUAGUGUUCCUGUUCCUUUUCCUCCCUCAAGACAGUGAGCCAGAUCUUUCUCUGGACUUUAUUUUGACUUAUCUGUAAAAUGAGAGCUUUGGGAUAGAUUACACUGAUGAGAGAUAGAAGCAGAAAAAUGUUCACCUUUACCCCAGAAGGCUGACCUAUAGCCUGCAUAGUUUUGAUAAGGAUCAAAUACAUGCUAGUUGCUACAUUCUUUUUUAAAAAUCUUUUUUAAUGUUUAUUUAUAUUUGAGAGAAAGACAGUGUAUGAAUGGAGGAGGGGCAGAGA